UACGUAGGGUGCGAGCGUUAAUCGGAAUUACUGGGCGUAAAGUGUGCGCAGGCGGCCGAGCAAGUCGAGUGUGAAAGCCCCGAGCUUAACUUGGGAACUGCGCUCGAAACUACUUGGCUGGAGUGUGGCAGAGGAAGGUGGAAUUCCACGUGUAGCGGUGAAAUGCGUAGAGAUGCGGAGGAACACCGAUGGCGAAGGCAGCCCCCUGGGCUAGCACGUGACGCUCAGGCACGAAAGCGUGGGGAGCAAACAGG
rnacentral:rRNA from 1 species